UACGGGGGGGGCAAGCGUUGUUCGGAAUUACUGGGCGUAAAGGGCUCGUAGGCGGCCAACUAAGUCAGACGUGAAAUCCCUCGGCUUAACCUGGGAACUGCAUUUGUGACUGCAUGGCUAGAGUUUGGCAGAGGGGGGUAGAAUUCCACGUGUAGCAGUGAAAUGCGUAGAUAUGUGGAGGAACACCGAUGGCGAAGGCAGCCCCCUGGGUCAAGACUGACGCUCAUGCACGAAAGCGUGGGGAGCAAACAGG
rnacentral:rRNA from 1 species